GCACACUCAAUUACUACAUAUUUGCAAUAACACUGUAGAAUUUUAUAUUUGACAUUUUCAUUUGACAUUAUUCCAUGUCUAUUGUUCUGUGUUGUUUUAGUCUUUCUUACCUUUUUUGUGCCCACUUCUUUCCCCUAACCACCUCCAAAUACUCUCUGCCCAAUGUAUCCUAAUUCCACUCAAUUCUCAUGAAACCACAUACAAAUGUAUAUAUGUAUAAUUUGUUUAUUGUUUGAUAAAAGUGAAUCACAUUCCAUAAACUUCCUAUUUACUUUCCUCAUUUGAUGGUACACCAUGGAUAUAUUUCCAGGUCAAUAGAUCUAGAUCCAAUUCACUGAAAAUAAACCUGCCAAAUAUAAUUGUUUUGCUGCUAAUUCAACCUUUAUUGAUGGACAUCAGGAUUUUCCAGUUACCAUCAACAAUAUCACAAUAAACAUUCUUGUAUGUACAUCCUUUAUAGAAGUAUGUAUCUAUUACUUCUGUAGAAUAUGUUCUUGGUUUGUUGGGUUAAAGGUAAGUGUAGCCGAGCAUGGUGGCUUACGCCUGUAAUCCCAGCACUUUGGGAGGCCAAGGUGAGUGAAUCACCUGAGGUCAGGAGUUUGAGACCAGCAUAGCUAACAUGGUGAAACCCCGUCUCUACUAAAAAUACAAAGAUUAAUCCGCCGGGCACGGUGGCUUUUCUAAAGCAACUUUUAGGGAAUGUUGCAGAAUCAACCCACAUUCAAUCUAUUAACUCCAUCAGACAUUUACUGAGCACAUGUUAUGUACAAGACACCAUCCUAGGCAUUGAUGAGAAUAGAGCAUAAAGAGAAAUAUGGCAGGAUUGGAGUUAAGAUUCGUCUGGGGGAGAAAACACCAUGUAGGUAGUAAUAAGCCGUGCAUUAAGUCUUUCUUGGUAUGAAGUGAGAGAAAACUCCAUUCAAACUGACUUAAACAAACAAAAAAAUUAUUCAUGGCUGGGCAUGGUGACUUAUACCUGUAAUCCUAGCACGUUGGGAGGCUGAGGCAGGAGGACUACUUGAGGCCAG
rnacentral:lncRNA from 1 species